UUCGACGAUGAGAUUCCACAUACUCCAAGCGUCGUUCCCAUCCCCGUAACGUCUCAACCUACCAUUAAUCUGUUCUUUACUCCGAGUGAUUACUCCACUCCGCCCACUCGCAGCAUUCAAUCUACCUCUUCAUUUCCCAUUGUAAUCGGGUGAAGCUUCAGCUAUAAAUAUCUGUCCUUUUCUGCGAGGAGGAGUACAAGUCAAACUAGAUCCAGAAGCAUUAUUUUUCCUUACAACCGAUUUCGAUGGCAUCUAAGUACACUCUCCUUGCCGAUCUAGAGCUGGACGAUGCUCUAACGUUAUGAAAACAUCUUCAACUAUCAUUACUGAAAUUGUCGAUCUCGAUCACAUCUGUGGAGCAAAGACAGCUGAGGUGACAAACACAUGGCUUGGAGCAGCAGAGCCAUGCCCUUGGAACGACAUGAACAAUUAUCAAGAUCAGACAAGCUCUUAACCCAAAGAGUGCACUAAAGCCGUCAUCGCUGGCUAAAACCGCAAUUAAAUCAGCUUCUAAAGAAAAGAAGAAGGGGGAAAGAAACAAAACAUAAAACCAUAUUAAGCAUGUAAAGGAAUCUCUGUCUCUAUUUCAAAAACUCACACAAAUGAAUAAAAACGUGUCUCUUUUGUGUUUUUUUGUUUGGUCGGAGAAUAUGUCAGGGAAGUAAUGGUUGAGUACUCAAAGGAAGUGAUGAAAGUAGGUAAAAUGAUCCUUGAACUUCUCUCAUAAGCUCUAGGAUACACAUUAAUCACCUCAAGGACGUGGAAUGCACCAAUUCAUUGCUCCCGCUCGGCCAUUACUACCUGCCUUGUCUUCAACCCGACCUAACGGCUUAACCAAACUCUCAGACAACUCUUUUCUCACGGUUCUUCUACAAGACCAUGUUGGAGGGCUUCAAGUUCUCCAUGACCAAUACUGGCUUAUUACAAACGGCAAGUUCAUAAGAGUGGAGCGUCUUGCUUUGGCGAAUGCAGCUGGAGCACGUAUCUCAGUGGCGUGCUUCUUUAGUUCGUAUUUGAUGGCGAAUCCUAGAGUUUACGUACCUAUCAAAGAGCUUCUGUCUCAACAAAAGCCUCCCAUUUAUAGAGACACCACCAUUACAGAGUAUUCAAAGUUCUACAGAUCAAAAGGAUUCGAUGAAACAAUCUCGAAGGAAGAGUCUUUGAGGACGAGACUAAGCGCAAGAAUAGUUGAUGAGGUUAAAGACGCAGCAGAGAAGUGAGGGUUCUUCCACGUGAUCAACCAUGGCGUUUUCAGUCGAUCUUCUAGAGAGGAUGAAAGAUGGAGUUCGCAGGUUUAACGAGCAAUCUCCUGAGUUAUGGCACAUUUUGCAACCGGAGGGUGUGAUGGUUUUGUCAAUCUUAACAACAAGAAGAGGCUGUAUCAGUAUUCAAAAUUUCCAUCAAGCAUAACAGCAUGGUCAGCUACUAGCUGUUGCUUCAAGUUACACAGUUGGAGAGGGGGAGAAAUCGCAAGUAUCAUCAUUCCCCCUUUAUAGUCCUCUGAAGUUUAUGCAUGUAUGUUUUUGAAAUAUUGGAUGGAUACACAGAUUUUUUUUUCUUAAGAACCCCUAAAUAAGAAACUAGCAUUAAAACAC